rnacentral:rRNA from 1 species
UACGAAGGGGGCUAGCGUUGUUCGGAUUUACUGGGCGUAAAGCGCACGUAGGCGGACUAUUAAGUCAGGGGUGAAAUCCCGGGGCUCAACCCCGGAACUGCCUUUGAUACUGGUAGUCUUGAGUUCGAGAGAGGUGAGUGGAAUUCCGAGUGUAGAGGUGAAAUUCGUAGAUAUUCGGAGGAACACCAGUGGCGAAGGCGGCUCACUGGCUCGAUACUGACGCUGAUGCGCGAAAGCGUGGGGAGCAAACGGG